AAAGGGAAAUUUAGUAGGAAAAUUAGUAACAUACUCAAUGAUAGAGAUUUAUGAGAAUUUUCAACAAUUUCAGAGCAAACCCCCACCCUUGUGGGAACCAGACAUCUGUGGGGGUAAGGGCAGCUUCUUGUUCUGAUUAAUAUAAUACAAAUGCAAAUAACAUCAAGAUUUAAAAUUCAGGCAGCUGAACUGCAACCCUAAGGAAAUCACCUGCAAAACCAUUAGAAGGAUUUGGUUUCUUCAAAUUCUGAAAGCAUUCACAGUUUUUUUUUUUUUUAAUGGGAGAAGGGAGGGUUCAAAAAAAUAAGAGGGUUAAAAAGCACCAUGGUGGAUUUUGAAGGGGGCUGUGGGCAGUUAUUCAUCUCAGAAAUACUUAUUCAACAAUGGGUAUCAGGGUCAGAUGAUUUAUACCUGCCCCAAAUCCCAUUAACACAGACAUUACAUAUUAGAAAAUUCCCUUUUGUAGAUAUAAUCAAAUAACAGUAAAUAGUCAACAAAGAAAAAGAGCAAGGAUUAAACUCAUUCAUCAUAGCUAGCACAUCUGUAGCAAAUCCAGAGAAAGGAAAAAAUAAAAGGGAGGGAAAACCACCAUUUUUAUCAUCAUGUACGUGUUCCUAAUUUAUUACUGUGCACAUGAGGGGUGAGUAUCAGUGUUAUAGCUGGAAGUAGGGAGAAAUGACAAAGCAGAGGGCAACAUCUUCCUCAUCUUGCAAUGGUUCUGAGGCUUGUCAGGGGCUCAGGAUGGGCCUGAAGGUGCAGCCUGGCCAUGCAGCCCCUCAGUGCUCCAGUCAGAGCUCAUGGGGUGAACUCUACCUGUGGCUGUCCAUUCCCAGACUCAUUUUGAGGUCUGUCAGUGCUAUGGCAGAGAAUUUUGUCCUCUCUGCAUGACUUUGUAGGAUGCAUCCCCAGCAGCAGCCAGCUCCAGAAGCACAGCCUGUCCCAGAGUGCCCCAAGGACUGCAGGAGGAGAGGAGAGGCUGCAGAGGAGGCUCCUUGCUCACACCACAGGGGUUUGAGCUCUGCCUUGUGCCACCUGCACAUGGGCUGGGGGAUUCCCUAAAACAGAGAGGACUGAGUGAGGGUUUGCACAACAGCCCCAAAUGUAAUUUCAUUAACCUGCUCUCUUGUAAAAUCCAGUACAGCUCAUUUGGUUCUGGAUAUUUCUUCCUAGACCUAAUUUUUACUGCUGUAAUAGUUUUGAUCUGCUUGCUCACAGUUAAAUCUCUCUUUGUUAGGACUUCAGCAUUUGUUUGUUUCUUUGCUAAGCACCCUCUCUUAAGUAUGGCAGCAUUCUGCAAAGUGGUUUUAAAUAACUAGACCUGUAGCCAUCCCAGUAAAGGAGCUAGGAAUGCUUUAUGGAGCAAAACAUUGUUUUCAUUGUGUUUUUCCAAUUACUUUGUAAUUCAUAAGGUUCAGUAGCUCACAAUGAGUCUCCCAGCCAUUAUUGCAAAUUUGCACAGUUCUGCUAUAGGUAAAUUACAGGAUAGAGAACUCCAGCAAGAAAAGAAGCUCCUUUACUUUCUGUCAAGCCUUCCUUCCCCUUGACUUUCUCCUGUCUCUCUGUGUUCUCUUUGUUCUGCUCUGGCUCCAAGGAAUGAGUUUCUGGGUACUGCUGGUGGAUGCUUCAGAGAGCUUCCUGGAAAAUCAGUGAGAUGGGACUUGAAACUCUUUCUGAUCUGUGAGAGCCUUUUUCAGCUGUUAGGAGGAACAGCCCCACAAAUUCCUGUGGCUCUUCAGGAAGUAGCUACUUUUACUCAGCUGCCUGGAGCAGGAAAGGAGUCAGGUGUCCCUGUGUCUGUCCUGUGCUGUGUUUAGCAGGGGCAGCUGGGAUAAUGUUUCUAUCCUUCCUGGAAACUGUGAACCCUGGGGAGAAACAAGCCUGUUCAUCUUCUUUUCACCCUUCUUUUUUUUCUCUGUGCUCUCCUCUACCUCUCCCUCUGCCCUGUCCUUCUCUCUUCCCAUCUUCUCUGAGCUGUGUGAUUGUUUCAGCAACAAACAAUGGUCCUGUGGAGAGAUCAGCAGGAGCCACUUAAUCUGCUGGGGGAGAUUACCACAGUCUAGCAAGGAAGGAAAAGGAUACUGUUUAUCUGGAGGAGCAAACAGUAAACAACCACCUUUGCAAACCACCUCAGGACUGCAGAGUCCCAGAGAAGAGGUGAAGCCCCUGAGACCCCUCUCUAUAGCCCAGGCAGAGUGCACUUUCAUGAGUUCAGGUUCAAAGGACAGAUUUGGACUUUGCUUCUCCACACUCUGUGUGUCUGUCCAUCCCUCCUGAAAGCUUCUGGCACUGUCAGACAGUUUCACCAGUUUGAUAGAGGGAUGGUGGCUUACAGAUGUGGCUCCUGUCAGAUUCACAGCCUCAGAUGGGCAGUGAAAUCCCUGCUGCACGAGGUGAGGAGAAGAUGCCACAGAACCAGGUCUCCCUUGAUGCUGGAGGGUCCAGCUGGAUUUUGUGAGUGCCCCAGGCACAGAGAAAGCUCCCACUGAAGUUUGUACCUUCCCAGACCUGAGGGAAUUUUGUAGAGCUCCAGAUAUGGAUGACAGGGCUGCUUCUUGUUCUAGCUAUGUAAGUUCACAAACUCUGCACAGUGUCCAGUGCAAUCAGUCCAACUUGCCAUGAGGCUUCACUGGCCAGUGCAGAGGAUCCAUGGAGGCAAUGGAUGGGAAAGAGAUGCCAGCCCAGCAGCAAGAAGGGAGACUUUGAACAGGGCAGCACUGAGAGAAGCACUGGAAUGUGGCAAUGGAACAUUUAACAUCUGUAGAGAAGAGCACUUAUGGCUGGGGUCCAGGUGAAGGUGGCUCAAGGCUCUGAGCUGGAACAGGGCGUUUAUGUCCAGCAGGAGAUGCCAGAAGAGAAUGGGAAUACUUCUUCUGUUUCAUCACAUUUCUCAGGAAAAAAACAGAGGGUAAAGCAAUGCUGAAAUCCUCCGAGGAAGUUGGAAAAGCAUUUAUUGUCUCCAAAAUAUGAAAAAAAAAACAAAACUAACUGAUGAAAACUGAUCUAUUUCACCUGCUUGCAUCUUUAAUGUCUAGAAUUUACAAAGCCUUUUCUAAGAGGGUGGCUCUUGCUUAAUUGCUUCUAGUCCUGUUCACUACCAAAGAUUAAAUCUUUACAGACUUGGGCUGGAAACUUCACCAGAAAUUGCUGGUGAACCAAAAUAAAAAUGGGGGAAGCUGAGUAAACAUAAACUAACUGUGUUAAGUGUCUGUCUCUGAAGGGUCAUAAAGUCUAUUUUGGAAAGCUCAGCUGUAAGUUUAAGCAUCAGGGUUGCUUUAAGUAACACAGCUUAUUUUACAGGUGCUUUAAAGCAGCUUGGAAAAGAACAGGAGAAUAGCUCCUGUUGCUGAAGGUCUCCAGGACAGGACACACUGUCUCUCUCCUGUGCUAGUGCAGGGAUGUGCCAUGAGCACUGCAGCACUCAGCUGCUUCCAGCCUGUGGAUAACUGAUGGAUAACACAAGAGAGGAGUCCCUGUGAGUGGGGGGAUGUCAGCACUGAGAUGCAAUGUUUCAGGAGAGUCUGCUCCCCAGCAAGCUGCUUAAAUCCCUCUGCAGAGCUGGAAAAUCCACAGUUAUUAUGGGCUCCCAGGGGCCAGAUCCUGAGAUGUGAAGCACUGACAGGUGGAUAAUAGAAAUGUUCUGGACAGUCAGAGGGCUGCUGGAGAUGACAUAUGAGAAGGAAGCUGAUAAUACCUGUGAAAUUUGGUCCUACCAUGAAGAAAUGGUUGUUAGUAUGGCACUCCAUCCUUCAGUAAAUAUGUUCCAUGUGGAUAUUUAUAGUCCUGCCUGCUCCCUUCAGUGAGAACAGGACGUUCUUCCUCCCAUAAGCUCUGUGCAGCUGCCAGGAGAGAUGGUGGAAGCCUUUCCUCCCCUCACCUACUGUGGAUGUUCAUUGGUUUCAGUCCCACAGCCCCUGCAAUAUCCAAGGAUCUGUUUUGUAAUGUGCUCUGGGAUUUUCCGAGGUCAGAAGAGUGUUUGUCACUGCUGUUCAGCUGAGAAAUGUUUUAGGAAACAAUUACCAUCUGCCUACUGCCUGAAGAGCAAGAAAACCAAUAAGUUCUGGAAGGCAAGGUGAAUUUAAUUGCAAAGCAGCAGAGAAAUCCACUGAGAGGAAGAUCAAGGAGUCUGAGGCCAUUACAGACAAGUGGAAUAAUUGAUGGUAGGAAUUGAAAAGAAAUUGCAUAUGAGACUUAAUGACAUCUUGUCUUGUUUUUGGGAUGGUCAUUUUCAAUUGGCCAGCACUUGAGUAUGGUUGGAAUAGGGUACAACCAUGCAGCCUCUGCUUACCAGGAGAGAAGAAUUCAGGAGGAUCAGAGCACUGAGAGCUCAGAGCAGCCCCAGCUAGCCCUGUGCUUGCUGCUCUGCUUCUGACCUCAGAGAAGUGCUCUGUGCAGAGAGCCUUGGGUCUUCUCAGGGUGCUGUGUGCUCAUCUGAACUUCUUCCACAUGCUGAAAAAAGAAAUAGUUCUUUACAAGGGGGUGAGAAAAGCCAAGUGGUUUUCUAAGUUUUUAAUUUAGAGCCCCAUGCCAGCACCAAAUGCCAUCUCCAGCACUCUGGCCACUCACUAUCCAGCAGCAGCUACUUACACAUUGCAGAGAGUUAUUCUUACAAGCCUGAUUAUGGGAGCAGAUCAAUGCACUGAGGGUGUUAAAAUGGGGGUAGUUACUGUGCUUUACCAGUGCAGGAGGUCUGGUCCUCUGACCUGAGCUCUUUAGGUGCUUUGAGGUUAAUACCACUGUUAAUACCACUGUGGUGGAAAAGUACAGCAGCAACAGUUUUAGAACUCUUUUGUCCAAGUGACAAAGAGCUGGUCUUCAUUGAGAACUUUCUGUUGCAGGUCAUAAAGCUCAAGUGGAGAAAUGCUUUCUCAGGUGAUUGUUCACUUCUUGCUGCUAAUUUUCAAUAUUAAGAAUCAUCCUGGCCAUGGUUAAUAAUGAUGAGUGAUGUGCUGUUCCAUCCAAUGGGAUAAGAUGCAAGAGGUUCAAUGACCUGGAGUGAGCUAAAAAAAUGAAGGGAAAGAGCUGAACCAACCAGAACUUUACAAAUUCACCUUAUGAUAAUGAAUACCUGCUCCCUUCCUUCUCAGAGGAAUCAAUUCCAUUUUUCCAUCCUGAGGGGCAAAGAAAAUGCCAGUCCAAAAGACUGUUAGUGUGGAUUGGCUGAAACUGCAAAGAAAGAAAAAUUGUCCAUGUGUCCACAUGAGAGCAAGAGCAGCUCCCAUUCUGCAUCUUAAUGGCAGUAGAAAAUGACCAGCAAUUCUGCAGCAGAUUACAGGGUCACAUCUCUCAUUACUGUGGGCUAUGCAGAAGGCAGAGUACAUCACUGCAGAUACCACAGUCCUGUCUGCCUCUCAAAAUACUCCUUUCAUUGCCUUUUUCUUCCUUUAUUCUAAUAGCAAUGGAAUGUGCUGAACUGCAAAUGCUGGUGCUUGCUGUAUUUUUCCUCAUCCCUGGAGUUAUAUAUUCAUUUCCAUCUUGUCAAAAUAACCUGUUUAUUCCAUUUCUAAGUCCAGCAUGAGAUGGUUCUCAUCUUCCCCAUUCCCUGUGGUUUUAUCACAACUGCCUGCCCACCUAUGUGCUUUGUCUUAGCUACAGAGUUUCCUUUUUCCAGAAAGCUGUCAAGCAGUUCUCCCCAGCAGCAGAGACAUGAUGGUCAGUGCACAAGUCUCUUUGUGGUGAAUUAAUUGCAAGCCUCCCUACUAAUUUCAUUAAGAAAAGCAGCAGAGUGUCCUAACUUAUCCUGGGUGAUUUGGGAGCUCCUUUAUUUCUCUGGUUGUCUCCAGUAGGUUGAAACAGAUGAUUGUAUGCUCUGUGCUCCCACCUCCACACACCUCCUGCAUCUCACCCACCCUGGUCCCUGCAGGCUGUGCCAGCCCAGCCCAUCUGCUGAGGGGGCUGCAGCCCUCAGCAGGGACCAGCAGAGUUUCAGCAGCAACCAGGCUGCUCACCAGUGCCAGGGGAUGGGCAAACAAUGCUGUUGUACCAGAGCAGACUGAGGGUGGAUGGCCAGAAAAAUCCUCUUUCCACUCAAAUUGUUCUGAAGCCCAGGGAUAUGUCCUCAAGGGGUGGUGGAAUUCUUUACAGGAUGGCCAGGCAUGUCUCAGCCCCAUGGUGGCCAUAAGUCUUGGAGUUGGAAGAUGGACUGGCUGUGGCCACUUGCUCUUUCAUAGCUGUACAAUUCUUUGGUUUCCAAAAAUAAAUGUAAUUUUAUUACCAGCUGCCUUAUCAUUGCUUUAUUAUUUUCCAUUCAGAGCCUGCAAAACUGAAUUACUGAGCAUCCCCUAAAUCUGCCACUCUUCACACAGCUCUGGUCUCUUCUGAACUCAACCAGAACCAUCAGCUUUCAGGCAGGCAGGUGCAGAUGGAUCCCUGGAGCAUCUGUAGGACACAUUUAUGAGUAAUUACCUAUCAUCUAGAAGGUUACAGAGCAGCAGCUUAAGUGUGACCUGCCUUCUGCAUUUAUAUCCAAGUCAAGACUAAGAAACAUCUCUAGCAGAUGGGAAAACUCUCCAGCCUCUCAAAGCUUCUCCAAGAUGGAUGAUUUACUACCCAGCACCUCUCAGAGCAAUGAGAGCUUAUCCAACACAGUUUCUCCUAGAUCUGCUUAUUCUGUCUUCUUUAUUCCAUAAGGAUCCCAACCAAGGUUCAUCAAAACACGGAAUGAGACCCUAGCCAGCAGAAGGGAUUUUUUUUUUUUUUGACCUAUUUUGUGACCUAUUUUUUAUGUGUGUCCUGCUAGGAAGUUGCAUGCUUGGUUUUGACACGCUGUGUGUGCCACAUGCAGAAAUGUUUCCUGAGCAGUUUAUGUCAGAACCUUUUAGUCCCUGGACUAUCUAACUCUGUGUUCAUCUGGGGAUUUGCUGCUCUCAGUGCAGGACUGUCCCACACAAGGCAGGCAAGUGCCACAGUUUCUCUCUGACCUGCAGGGCAAUGUUGGGAAGGUGACAGCCUUAGGACCUGUUGGGACCCUCUCCAUGAGCCUCACCAGGAGCUCCACACACAUCUCAACAAACUUACUCUUCUAUCUCUAAUAUCCUUUUUUAUGCCACUCUGGCAGAGAGUGGAAAUACAAGCUUAGCUUUGUUUGGCUUUGCUGGUUUUGCAGAUUCAGUCUGGAUGCUGAUCUGAAAUGUCCUGUAGUGUGGAAAACACAGCUGCUGUGAGCAGAGGAAAUUAUGGAACCAGCUGAGUGAGUUUGUGGUGUUUCAAGGGGCUCCUCUAGACAGAAAAGGUGUUUGUGGCUCCUGGGGCUGGACCUGCACAUUGCUCACUACCUGUGCCUCCACUCUGAGCUGGUUUCAAUCCACACCUCCACUUUGUUGGUAGCUUCUCCCAGCUGCAAAGAAGUCAUCCAGAUGGAAAUCACUUGUUUGGCUCUCUGGGAACAAAACCAAACCUUUUGGGGAGUUUCCAUCCAGCCAUCUAAAAGCUUGGCACAAAUUUGGAAGUACAGAGGAAUUUCUUGAAUUGCAGCUUUCUAACAGCAUUUUCCAAAACUCAGAGGCUGAAUUUGGCCUGAGCUUUAGAAAAUAUCCAGGCAAAAACUUGUUAGGUGCAAACAGUUUCACUUUCCUUUAAACCAACAUGGAAAUAAGAACGAAAAGCUGAGUUUCAGUUCUACAAACAGUUCAGUGCUGGCUCAGUGGCUCCACUCCAAGACCUCUGUUGCCUCUUCCCUUUCUACUUGGAGUGCCUUGAGAGCACACAUUCAGAGAUUUUUGGGGAAAUUUAUGAGGAACAAGUGCUAUGGAAAUCUUAUCUCAUUAUUUUGGUUUGGUGUUUUUCUUUAAAUUAAUCAAACAGUUAAAACAAACCAUGCAGGCAUUUGCAACACCAAAAUGAAACACAUUUUAGGGAUGGUGAUAUUCAUGGGAAGCAAAACUUAUAGGAAAUAUAUGAAGUCUCUCCAACUGUAACCCCUAUUUUUUCCCUCAUGUCAUGAAGUCAUUGAUUCUUUAGAAUUUCCCAAAUGUGUCCAGAGUAAAAGCAGUGCCUUGCAGAGGGUUUGGACACUAUUUUUGCCAUGGUCAAAGUGAAAGCUCCCAUUGUCAGCAGCAAAACCCUGGAGGGAAUGUGCCAGCCAGGAGAGAUUAAAUGUUCUUUGUAUUGUGCAACAGAAAGCGUUGUAAGGUUGAUUACAAUAAAAGCUUUCCAAAGUGGCA